CAGUAGCCACGGGAACACGUAGGGGGCAAGCGUUAUCCGGAAUAACUGGGCGUAAGGGUGCGCAGGUGGUUUAACAAGUUAGUGGCGAAAGGCAUAGGCUCAACCAAUGUAAGCCAUUAAAACUGUUUAACUUGAGUGCAGGAGAGGAAAGUGGAAUUCCUAGUGUAGCGGUGAAAUGCGUAGAUAUUAGGAGGAAUACCAGUGGCGAAGGCGACUUUCUGGACUGCAACUGACACUGAGGCACGAAAGCGUGGGGAGCAAACAGGAUUAGAUACCCCCGUAGUCCCUGUCUCUUAUACAC
rnacentral:rRNA from 1 species